rnacentral:tRNA from 1 species
GACUGGAUAGCUCAGUCGGUAGAGUAGUUGCACUAGUAAUGUGAAAGUCGUGAGUUCGAAUCUCACUUCGUUCC